UACGUAGGGGGCUAGCGUUGUCCGGAAUCAUUGGGCGUAAAGAGCGUGUAGGCGGCCCGGUAAGUCCGCUGUAAAAGUCAAAGGCUCAACCUUUGAAUGUCAGUGGAUACUGUCGGGCUAGAGUCCGGAAGAGGCGAGUGGAACUCCUGGUGUAGUGGUGGAAUGCGCAGAUAUCAGGAAGAACACCAACGGCGAAGGCAGCUCGCUAGGACGGUACUGACGCUGAGACGCGAAAGCGUGGGGAGCGAACAGG
rnacentral:rRNA from 1 species